rnacentral:rRNA from 1 species
UACGAAGGGGGCUAGCGUUGCUCGGAAUCACUGGGCGUAAAGGGUGCGUAGGCGGGUCUUUAAGUCAGGGGUGAAAUCCUGGAGCUCAACUCCAGAACUGCCUUUGAUACUGGGGAUCUUGAGUUCGGGAGAGGUGAGUGGAACUGCGAGUGUAGAGGUGAAAUUCGUAGAUAUUCGCAAGAACACCAGUGGCGAAGGCGGCUCACUGGCCCGUAACUGACGCUGAGGCACGAAAGCGUGGGGAGCAAACAGG